CUUCUCACUUCUUGAUUUCCCAAAUUGGAAACCCUUGUGGAAGAAGAACCAGCGGCAUCUACGCCGCUUGCCUCGCUCCUCUCCCCUAGGCGAAGUCGUCCUCUGGUGUCGCCGGAGUACCCUGGCAAUUUCUCCCUUCGCUAACCCAUCGGAGGACUCUCUUUCUCUCAUUUCUAACUUCAGCUUCCCCCCAAAAGAAAGAAAACAAACCCCUACUCCUUCUCCCUCUUUUCCCUCGGUGUAAACGCCACUCCUCAGGGUCGCUGGACCGCUGCCGUUCCCGGCUUCUCGCUGCCACCAGGCCGCCGCCGAGGUGCGGCUCUGUCCGUGAGCCACGUCGUUUCUUCGGCCAUGAGCUAAGUAGAAAUUCGUGGAAAUGAGGAAGGAGGAAGAGAGGUUACCUAUGGGAUGAAGGGCAGCCAGCAAGAAGCUCUUCCUGCUGCGAAAAGAACUCACUCACUCACUACUCUCUCAAGCUUGGUAUGUGGCUGGGACUUAUCGAAAAUGAGGGAGGGUUUUGGAGGUGGUGUGGGGGGUUUUUAUAGGCAAGAAGGAUGUGCUUAGAAGGAUUAAAUGGGCUGUCCAGCCUCUUUGUUUUCAUAUUGCAGAAAAUCCCUUCUUGGGAGAGCAGGUGGCUGUUAGGAACAGGUGCUGUAGGGCUGACUUUGCCAUUUUUAGGCAAGACUCCUUUUCUCUUUUGAAAAGGUUAGUUUGUUUUGUUUGUAUUUUGCAGGGGAAAAACUGACCAUCUUCGGCUGCCACCUUGCUGAUUCGGGCCCGACGGGCCGUCGGGAUCAGGCCGUGAUUUGGGCCUAAAGAAGAGGCCCGAAGUGCUCAUUAGAAAUCUUACAUUCCGCUUCUUUGCUUCGUGUAGUUUAUUUGGAAUUAGUUGAUAGUCCAUUGUGUAAAAGAUAUUCGAACACCUUUAGUUCGAAAUAAAUUUCUUGUUUUCCCUCCCUCUUUUAUAAACAUAUUAUCGAGGUCGUUUUUGUUCGUUUAA